GCCCAGCUAGCUUAGUCGAUAGAACAUGAUACUCUUAAUUUCAGGGUNGUGGGUUCGAAUCCCAUGCUGGGUG
rnacentral:tRNA from 1 species